rnacentral:rRNA from 1 species
AGCAGCCGCGGUAAUUCCAGCUCCAAUAGCGUAUAUUAAAGUUGUUGCAGUUAAAAAGCUCGUAGUUGAAUUUUAGGCCUGGCCGGGCGGUCCGUCUUUGGCGAGUACUGUCCUGUGUCGGGUCUUCCUUCUGGUAAACCUGCAUGUCCUUUAUUGGGUGUGCUGGGGAGCCAGGACCAUUACCUUGAAAAAAUUAGAGUGUUUAAAGCGGGCUUUUGCUUGAAUAGAUUAGCAUGGAAUAAUAGAAUAGGACGUUGUGGUUCUAUUUUGUUGGUUUCUAGGACCACCGUAAUGAUUAAUAGGGAUAGUUGGGGGCAUUAGUAUUCAAUUGUCAGAGGUGAAAUUCUUGGAUUUAUUGAAGACUAACUAUUGCGAAAGCAUUUGCCAAGGAUGUUUUCAUUAAUCAAGAACGAAAGUUAGGGGAUCGAAGACGAUCAGAUACCGUCGUAGUCUUAACCAUAAACUAUGCCGACUAGGAAUCGGGCGACGUUAUUUCAUGACUCGCUCGGCGCCUUAUGGG